UGCAAAACAGGUGUCCUGUGGGACUAU
rnacentral:piRNA from 1 species